UUUUGGUUAUUUUUAGGUAGUAUUUUUAAGGAUUAAUUUUCUCAAAUUUUCGAUUAUGGACGCCAUUUUUUGGCUCCUUAUUGAGUCGAUCUUUGGCUAUUUGAAGUGUAUUGAUGUAGAAGAGGUGGAAUUUGCCUGUUUUGAGGUUCAUUCUGUAAUGCGGCUUUGAUCAUGUCCAGAAAGGGGUUGUCUUUGUUCGGUUAAUUUGUUUAAGCUUCUUCUUUGUUUUUCUCUUUCUGUUAGCGUCUGGAACUGUGAUCUUUGGUUGAUUUUGGAUGUGUAUUUUGUUGAUGAUCGUCUGAUUUGGGUUAUGUUUUGUUGGGAUGCCUUGUGGCUUAACCUGCAUGUUGCUUUUCUUCUUCUUCUUCUUAUGUAGCGAUUACUUCUUCCUCUCCUUCUCGUAGGAGGAAGAAUCUCUUCGAUGGACAGCUUUAUCAGUCCACAUCCAUCAUCCUCAGUUCUUCGCAAAACAUGAAUUGAACCAAACAAAAUCUAGUCUACAUUCUGUUUGUUAAAAGGCCUCAAUCCGUUAACAGUUGAGGGUGACAUUGUGUUUUACUGAAACUUAACAAGGAGAACAACCAUGAUUCUAGGGUUGGGUCGACCACAUUUAUCUUGAUAUGUAUGGCCAGAUUUUUGAAAUGGGGUUCAUAUCUGAGAUAGUUAUGGCAUGUUUGAUGAACUUGAAGCAGCACAAUUAGCUUAAAGGGUGAUUUAGUCGUGUGGAACACUUCUACUGCUUCACAAGAGGUUUUUGAUGAAUUAUCAUUGUAUAGAACACUUUUGAAAGGUAAAAAGAAUUUUGCUUUUAAGCAUCAAUAAUAUGUUAUACAUCAAUGUGAUCCGGGUUUGAGCACAAUUUACCAGUAUAUAUGCUUUUAUUACAGUAGAAAUUGUAUAGAUCACUAAAUUUAUUUCAUGUUUAUAUUUGUAUUAAUGGCUUGUUUUAGCUCACCCCAUAUUUGUAUUCAUUUUGAGCACAAUUUACCAGUACAUAUGCUUUUGUAUGUGAUGGCUUGUUUCGAAGUGGCCUUGCUCUGUUUUCCUGUAAUUUUUGUGGAAUUUUCAGAUGAUCUUUGGCUAUUUGAAGUGCAUUGAUGUAGAAGAGGUGAUUGGUGACCCUUUUUGAGUUUUAAUCUGUAAUGCUUCUCUGUUGUGGUUUUAAUUAGUAUUGUUUUCUAUUAGGCUGCACUGGUGAAUUAGUGCUAUUUUUUUAAGUAGUCGUUACCCAUAAUCUCAACUCUACCUAUUUUCUUUUGUAGUCGUUACCCAUUAUCUCAAUUUGUUAUUAAGAGGAAGAUGGGCUUGUAAGGGGAACUGGCCACAGAAAGAAUUGCUACAAGUCAGUCAAGCAGGGACUUUUGACUCCUAUUCUCCUGCACAGGCUGUUCAUUCAUCAUUGAUGAUAAUUUCCUUUUGAUGGAUGGAAACCUGUAUAUUAUGCUAGAGUUGCAAAAUCAUGGCAGCUCUUUGAUGCAGGCUGCAGCCACCCCUUGCUACUUAUGACUACCUUCAGACUUUAGGGGUUCUUCAUUAAUCGAUGCUUGUAUUAGUUUCUAUAUUUGUGAUGUCUUUGUUUGAUGUGCUGCUCCUCCCUUGUGAUCUUUUCUCAUCCUCAGGUCAGUUUGUGGUUGCCUCUCCACUGUAAUUGUACUGGUCUUGGCGGCAUUUGAUUGAACAUCAUCAUUUGUGGGCAUCAUUUCACUCUUUAUGAAAAAGAAUACAUUUUUACUUUGAUGGAACCUUUUUUCAUACUAAAAGGAGAUCUUUAAAGUGCAUCUUUACCUAUAAUACUGUGAAAAAUGACGCAAGAGAUGACGUUAUCAGUUGAGCCGCAAAAAUAUAUAAAGUUAUGGAGGAAAGUCACCAACGAGAUCGGCGAUUUACCAGAUUGGAUGGGGCCAUUCCCCUAUAUUUAUCAGAGACGACUCAAGGCAAGGUCGAAGAGAUGGAAAAAUAUACUUUUCAAAUUGGAAUAGCCAUUGGAGUGUUUCUUGUUUAUCUGGUAAAUUAGUGGGCUGAAAAGAAUGACAAACUCCAAUGGAAAUUUUCACUUGGCAUUGCUAUCAUCCCAAGCUUCAUAUUUCUUCUUGCGUCCUUGGCCCUAACCCAAACAAGAUUUGAAGCUUCUGAAGAAACACAAGAAAAUAGCAAAUGGAUGGAGGUGUCAAAACCUGGUGGCUAUCCCUCAUUGGCUAUUUCUAUUAUAAGCCAAGCAUUUCAACAAUUAGUAGGGGUCAACGUGGUGUCAUUUUAUGCACCCCUACUACUUCGCGCUUUGAGGAUCAUCUAGCAAGACUCACUGUCCACAGUAUUUAUUGGAUUUGUAAGCAUAUUAGGUAUUUGUAUCUCCUUGCUAUUGGUUAGCAAGUUCGGUAGAAAGAUAGUGCUGCUUGGAUCUUGUUUUGUCAUGUUCACCGUCGAGGUAACAUUAUUCUCUUUCCACCAAAUAUAUUAACUUACCUAUUAUCCACAUCGAAA